GCCAGGCAUUGUGGUGGGCGCCUGUAAUCCCAGCUACUUGGGAGGCUGAGGUGGGAGAAUCGCUUGAACCCGGGAGGCGGGGGUUGCAGUGAGCCAAGAUGGCGCCACUGCACUCCAGCCUAGGUGACAGAGCGAGAUCCUGUCUCAA
rnacentral:SRP_RNA from 1 species